rnacentral:rRNA from 1 species
GACAGAGGGUGCAAACGUUGUUCGGAAUCACUGGGCGUAAAGCGCGUGUAGGCGGCUGCGCAGGUCGGGCGUGAAAUCCCGUGGCUCAACCACGGAAGUGCACCCGAAACCGCGUAGCUGGAGUCUCGGAGAGGAAGGUGGAAUGCUUGGUGUAGAGGUGAAAUUCGUAGAUAUCAAGCGGAACACCAGUGGCGAAGGCGACCUUCUGGACGAUGACUGACGCUGAGACGCGAAAGCGUGGGGAGCAAACAGGAUUAGAUACCCUGGUAGUCCACGCCGUAAACGAUGAGUGCUAGGUGUCACGGGCUUUGACCCCCGUGGUGCCGUAGCUAACGCAGUAAGCACUCCGCCUGGGGAGUACGGCCGCAAGGCUAAA